rnacentral:other from 4 species
UUCCCCCUGCCAGGUUUGUGAUCGGUCAGUGUAUUUCGAACCAAUACUCUGAAUAAGGGAGCCUCCCCUGGCUGCGGCCGGCAUGUCCCCUUGAGGGAAAGCCGAAAGCUUCCACAGGGCGCCCACCUGCAUGGCAGGUUCAAAUAACAAUCGACACGGCUUGCGCGGGGGGAUG